rnacentral:rRNA from 1 species
UACGUAGGGGGCGAGCGUUGUCCGGAAUUAUUGGGCGUAAAGGGUUCGCAGGCGGCCCGUUAAGUCAGAUGUGAAAGAUCACGGCUCAACCGUGGUAAGCAUUUGAAACUGACAGGCUUGAGUUAAGGAGAGGAAAGUGGAAUUCCUAGUGUAGCGGUGAAAUGCGUAGAUAUUAGGAGGAAUACCAGUGGCGAAGGCGACUUUCUGGACUUAUACUGACGCUGAGGAACGAAAGCGUGGGGAGCAAACAGG